GACGAACGCUGGCGGCGUGUCUAAUACAUGCAAGUCGAACGCAGUGGGGACGGGUGAGUAACACGUGGGUAACCUCCCAUCAGAGGGGAUAACACUUGGAAACAGGUGCUAAACCGAUACUGAUGGAUGGACCCGCGGUGCAUUGGCUAGUUGGUGAGGUAACGGCUCACCAGGGCCACGAUGCCUAGCCGACCGGAGAGGGUGGUCGGCCACGAUGGGGCGGAGACGGGGCCCAGACGCCUACGGGAGGCAGCGGGAGGGAGUCUUCGGGAAUGGACGAAAGGCUGACCGGGCAACGCGGCGUGAGUGAAGGGGGUUUUCGGAGCGUAAGACUCUGUUGUUAGAGAAGCGGUAUCUAACCAGAGAGGCACGGCUAACUACGUGCCAGCAGCCGCGGUAAUAC
rnacentral:rRNA from 1 species